GAUGAACGCUGGCGGCGUGCCUAAUACAUGCAAGUCGAGCGAACAGACGAGGAGCUUGCUCCUCUGACGUUAGCGGCGGACGGGUGAGUAACACGUGGAUAGCCUACCUAUAAGACUGGGAUAACUUCGGGAAACCGGAGCUAAUACCGGAUAAUAUAUUGAACCGCAUGGUUCAAUAGUGAAAGACGGUUUUGCUGUCACUUAUAGAUGGAUUCGCGCCGCAUUAGCUAGUUGGUAAGGUAACGGCUUACCAAGGCGACGAUGCGUAGCCGACCUGAGAGGGUGAUCGGCCACACUGGAGCUGGAACACGGUCCAGACUCCUACGGGAGGCAGCAGUAGGGAAUCUUCCGCAAUGGGCGAAAGCCUGACGGAGCAACGCCGCGUGAGUGAUGAAGGUCUUCGGAUCGUAAAACUCUGUUAUUAGGGAAGAACAAAUGUGUAAGUAACUAUGCACGUCUUGACGGUACCUAAUCAGAAAGCCACGGCUAACUACGUG
rnacentral:rRNA from 1 species